rnacentral:rRNA from 1 species
UGACGGAGCGACGCCGCGUGAGGGAUGACAGCUUUCGGGUUGUAAACCUCUUUUAUUAAGGAAAAAGAUCUAUAUGCUAAUAUCAUGUAGAUUUGAUGGUACUUAUUGAAUAAGCCCCGGCUAACUACGUGCCAGCAGCC